UGCAGUCAAAAGCACCAACAGCAUUCUG
rnacentral:piRNA from 1 species